rnacentral:tRNA from 1 species
GGGGAUUUAGCUCAGUGAUUGAGUGCUUGCCUAGCAAGCACAAGGCCCUGGGUUCAAUCCCCAGCUCCG